rnacentral:rRNA from 1 species
CCUACGGUGGACAGCAGUAGGGAAUCUUCCACAAUGGGCGAAAGCCUGAUGGAGCAACGCCGCGUGGGUGAAGAAGGUCUUCGGAUCGUAAAACCCUGUUGUCAGAGAAGAAAGUGCGAGAGAGUAAAUGUUCACGUUUCGACGGUAUCUAACCAGAAAGCCCCGGCUAACUACGUGCCAGCAGCCGCGGUAAUACGGAGGUUGCAAGCGUUAUCCGGAUUUAUUGGGCGUAAAGGGAACGCAGGCGGUCUUUUAAGUCUGAUGUGAAAGCCUUGGGCUUAACCGGAGUAGUGCAUUCGAAACUGGGAGGCUUGAGUGCAGAAGAGGAGAGUGGAACUCCAGGUGUAGCGGUGAAAUGCGUAGAUAUAUGGAAGAACACCAGUGGCGAAGGCGGCUCUCUGGUCAGUAACUGACGCUGAGGUGCGAAAGCGUGGGUAGCAAACAGGAUUAGAUACCCCUGUAGUC